ACCCCUCCUCUUCCUCCUCAGCCUACUCAACGUGAAGAUGAUGAGGACGAAGACCUUUAGGAUGAUCCACUUCCACUUAAUGAAUAGCCUCCUCGCUGGGGAGGCAGAGUCCUCGCGUGGUCUCCUGCCUCGAGCACAGCCUGUGCCCAGGGGAGCCGGGCUUGCAGACAACAGCAGUGGUGUCCAUGGGCUCUGGAGACCAUCAGUUCAACCUCGCAGAGAUCCUGUCACAGAACUACAGUGUUAGGGGGGAGUGCGAGGAGGCCUCGAGGUGCCCAGACAAGCCCAAGGAGGAGCUGGAGAAGGACUUCAUCUCCCAGUAGAGACGGGGUUUCAUCAUGUUCGCCAGGAUGGUCUCAAUCUCCUGACCUCGUGAUCCGCCCGCCUCGGCCUUCCAAAGUGCUGGGAUUACAGGCGUGAGCCACCGUGCCUGGCCUAGCAACGACAUGCCCUUUGAUGAGCUGCUUGCGCUCUAUGGCUACGAGGCGUCAGACCCCAUUUCAGACCGGGAGAGUGAGGGUGGUGACGUGGCCCCGAACCUCCCAGACAUGACCCUGGACAAA
rnacentral:lncRNA from 10 species